AGGGUUUGAUCAUGGCUCAGAUUGAACGCUGGCGGCAGGCCUAAGACAUGCAAGUCGAGCGAGAAAGUACUUCGGUACGAGUACAGCGGCGGACGGGUGAGUAACGCGUAGGAAUCUACCUAGUAGUGGGGGACAACUCGUGGAAACGCGAGCUAAUACCGCAUACGCCCUACGGGGGAAAGCGGGGAUCUUCGGACCUCGUGCUAUUGGAUGAGCCUGCGUAAGAUUAGCUAGUUGGUGGGGUAAAGGCCUACCAAGGCGACGAUCUUUAGCUGGUCUGAGAGGAUGAUCAGCCACACCGGGACUGAGACACGGCCCGGACUCCUACGGGAGGCAGCAGUCGGGAAUAUUGCGCAAUGGGCGAAAGCCUGACGCAGCCAUGCCGCGUGUGUGAAGAAGGCCCUAGGGUUGUAAAGCACUUUCAAUUGGGAGGAAAAGCUAAUGGUUAAUAGCCAUUAGCCCUGACGUUACCUUUAGAAGAAGCACCGGCUAACUCCGUGCCAGCAGCCGCGGUAAUUC
rnacentral:rRNA from 1 species